CAGCAGCCGCGGGAACACGGAGGGGGCUAGCGUUGUUCGGAAUUACUGGGCGUAAAGCGCACGUAGGCGGCUUGGUAAGUUAGAGGUGAAAGCCCGGAGCUCAACUCCGGAAUUGCCUUUAAGACUGCCGAGCUAGCAGGUGAGAGAGGUAAGUGGAAUUCCGAGUGUAGAGGUGAAAUUCGUAGAUAUUCGGAAGAACACCAGUGGCGAAGGCGGCUUACUGGCUCAUACUGGACGCUGAGGUGCGAAAGCGUGGGGAGCAAACAGGAUUAGAGACCCCCGUAGUCCCUGUCUCUUAUAC
rnacentral:rRNA from 1 species